rnacentral:rRNA from 1 species
AGAGUUUGAUCCUGGCUCAGGACGAACGCUGGCGGCGUGCCUAAUACAUGCAAGUCGAGCGAGCUUGCCUAGAUGAUUUUAGUGCUUGCACUAAAUGAAACUAGAUACAAGCGAGCGGCGGACGGGUGAGUAACACGUGGGUAACCUGCCCAAGAGACUGGGAUAACACCUGGAAACAGAUGCUAAUACCGGAUAACAACACUAGACGCAUGUCUAGAGUUUGAAAGAUGGUUCUGCUAUCACUCUUGGAUGGACCUGCGGUGCAUUAGCUAGUUGGUAAGGUAACGGCUUACCAAGGCAAUGAUGCAUAGCCGAGUUGAGAGACUGAUCGGCCACAUUGGGACUGAGACACGGCCCAAACUCCUACGGGAGGCAGCAGUAGGGAAUCUUCCACAAUGGACGAAAGUCUGAUGGAGCAACGCCGCGUGAGUGAAGAAGGGUUUCGGCUCGUAAAGCUCUGUUGGUAGUGAAGAAAGAUAGAGGUAGUAACUGGCCUUUAUUUGACGGUAAUUACUUAGAAAGUCACGGCUAACUACGUGCCAGCAGCCGCGGUAAUACGUAGGUGGCAAGCGUUGUCCGGAUUUAUUG